AACGAACGCUGGCGGCAUGCCUAACACAUGCAAGUCGAACGAGACCUUCGGGUCUAGUGGCGCACGGGUGCGUAACGCGUGGGAAUCUACCCUUGGGUUCGGAAUAACAGUUAGAAAUGACUGCUAAUACCGGAUGAUGACGUAAGUCCAAAGAUUUAUCGCCCAAGGAUGAGCCCGCGUAAGAUUAGCUUGUUGGUGAGGUAAAAGCUCACCAAGGCGACGAUCUUUAGCUGGUCUGAGAGGAUGAUCAGCCACACUGGGACUGAGACACGGCCCAGACUCCUACGGGAGGCAGCAGCGGGGAAUAUUGGACAAUGGGCGAAAGCCUGAUCCAGCAAUGCCGCGUGAGUGAUGAAGGCCUUAGGGUUGUAAAGCUCUUUUACCAGGGAUGAUAAUGACAGUACCUGGAGAAUAAGCUCCGGCUAACUCCGUGCCAGCAGCCGCCGUAA
rnacentral:rRNA from 1 species